GCUUGGUGCAGCACACCAGCCUUGACCAGCCCCUCCUGAAGUACUGGAGUCCUGGCUUGUCCCCGGUGGUGACGCUGCAGGUGGCCGUGGCGGCGGCAGUGUUGACUGUGGGGCUGGUGGUCUUCAGCGUCGGCAUCUCCAGCUACUGCUGCUGGGGUGGUCCUGGUGGUGGUCCCGGCGGUGGUCCUGGACCCAGACUUGGUCCUGGUCUUGGUCCUGCUCCCAGUGGUCCUGGUCUCCAGGGACGUUCUGGCCCUGCUCCUGCUCCUGCUCCCGCUCCCGCUCCCGCUCCCAGUCUCAGUCUUGGUCCUGGUCUCCAUCCUGACCACCAGGAUGGCGGUCCUGGUCCUGGUGUCGGUCCUGGUCCUGGUCCUGCUCCCAGUCUCAAUCCUGAUCCUGGUCUCCAUCCUGGUCCCGGUCCUGCUCCCUGAACGUGUCUUGGAACUGGUCUUGGUCCUUGUUCUGGUCCUGAUCUUGGUUCUGGUUCCGGACCUGAUCUUGAUCCUGGUCUCAGGUCUCAAUCCUGGUUCUGGUCCUGGGCUUGAACUUGGUCCUGAUCUUGGUCCUGGUUCCAGACCUGAUCUUGAUCUUGAUCCCAGGUCUCGAUCCUAGUUCUGGCCCUGGGCAUCAUCCUGGUCCUGAUCUUGGUCCUGGUUCCAGACCCAGUCUUGAUCCUGGUCCCAGGUCUUGAUCCUGGUUCUGGUCCUGGGCUUGGUUCUGGUCCUGGACCCAGUCUUGAUUCUGAUCCCAGGUCUCAAUCCUGGCUCUGGUCCUGAUCUUGGUCCUGGGCCCAGAUCUAGUCUUGAUCCUGGUCCCGGACCCAGUCUUAAUACUGGUCCUGGUUCUGAUCUCAAUCCUGGUCCCAGCCCUAGUCCUGGACCCAGUGUAGGUCCUGGAGCUGAUCCUAGUCUUGAUCCUGGUCCAGGUUUUGGUUCCUGUCCUGGUCCCAGACCCAGUCUUAAUACUGGUCCCGGUCCAGUCUCAAUCCUGGUCCCGGUCCCAAUCUUGAUCUUGAUCCAGGUCUCGAUCCUGGUCCUGAUCUCCAUCCUGGUCCCCGCCCUGGUCCCAGCCCUAGUCCUGGACCCAGUGUGGGUCCUGGAGCUGAUCCCAGUCUUGAUCCUGGUCCAGGUUUUGGUUCCAGUCCUGGACCCGGACCCAGUCCUGCAGUGACUUGUCUCUGAGCUCCCAGCUCCAGCCCCCAAAUCGCAGCCCCAGCUGAGACCCGCUGCUGCUGUGACACCCCAUGGGCUCCCCGGCUGGACCGAGGACAGGCUGUGGCUGAGGGUUUCGGGGGGGGGCACCUGGUUUUGGGGAAGGCUUCCUUACACCACGAAUAAACACACUUGCCCUCCCUGUC